rnacentral:rRNA from 1 species
AUGUGCAUCGUGCGUGCCUCACCUCCAUCUGCAGUUGGAGAGAGAGAUGGACUGGCGCCUCCGACGCGCUGGUCGACGCCGCGGCCGCCGCUCCCGCCCCUGCCGUCCGCGAGCCCGGGUGCACGGUGGCGCUCACGGACCUCCACCGUUGCCUCCACGCCUUCAGCGAGUCCUGCGACCGAGCCGAGGGCCUCGUCCAGGCGGCCGCCAGCGGCCUCGGCCCCGCCGCCUCCCGCCACGACGAGCUGUGUCGCGCCGUGCGCGCGGUGGACAAGGAUCUCUAGGCCGCCGCCGCAGGCCGGGAGGAGAACGAGAUGGAAGAGGAGAAGACUCGCCCUCCGACCACGCCGCUGGCGGCCGAGGACAAAUAGCCCAAUCGAUCUACCUCGUCUCCUGUUGAGGAAAGGAGAGAUGGACUGGGAUAUUUUACCUCGCCGUGAUGCAUGGUGGCCGAGAUGCGGCAGCCCCAUGCUCUGUUCCGAUGGGCCUCCUCUGCUCGAUGUUUGCCGCUGGUUGAGGUUCGUCCUUCUCUGGUUCGCAUGUUCUUCGCCGCUGCUUUGGAUUCGUCGUGCUAAUUUUGCAUGUUUGCCUUUGUUUCGUUCAUGCGCAGUUUGGUACGGUUUCCUGUUGUCGCUUGCGUCGAGCCUUGGGUCCGUCUCUCCUUCGUUGAGCCUACUUCUCCUGUUGCUGGCGCUUCUUCUUCUCGUCCGUCCUACUGCUUACCCAACGUGCUUCUGCUUGCUGCCUCGGGUUGUACGAUCUCUUCUGUCGCUGUGUCGAUCGACUCAUCAAGAUGGUGUGCUUGAGUUACAAAGCCUCUUCUUGCGGUGUUGUCUGCAAGGCCGAAGGGAAGUUUUUAAUGCAUUUGAGCUGCUCUAUCUGAUUGUUCAUCUCCUGAACCUGUUUUAG